GUUUUCCUACGGGAGGCAGCAGUGGGGAAUAUUGGGCAAUGGGCGCAAGCCUGACCCAGCAACGCCGCGUGAAGGAAGAAGGCUUUCGGGUUGUAAACUUCUUUUGUCAGGGACGAAGCAAGUGACGGUACCUGACGAAUAAGCCACGGCUAACUACGUGCCAGCAGCCGCGGUAAUACGUAGGUGGCAAGCGUUAUCCGGAUUUAUUGGGUGUAAAGGGCGUGUAGGCGGGAAUGCAAGUCAGAUGUGAAAUCCACGGGCUCAACCCGUGAACUGCAUUUGAAACUGUUUCCCUUGAGUGUCGG
rnacentral:rRNA from 1 species